rnacentral:tRNA from 1 species
GCAGAGCUUAUCUGCAAAGCCCCCGUUGUGUAGCGGCCUAGCACGCUGCCCUCUCAAGGCAGUAGCGCCGGUU